GGGAGAUAUCCAGUGACUGUAGGGAUCUUUGUGGAAGCCGGAAAACGUCUAACAGUUUCAAGAAGAAUUCUGCCUUAUGGUCUGUACCACAUGUUUUUGCUGCUACGCAAGUAAAGAACUCCACGUCUGUCAAUGUUAGUUUUACAACAUCGUCUACGGACAAAAAAAAAACCCCCCGCUAUUUGAUUGUUGCUAAGCCUUCGUACGACGUGUAAAUGGUUUGGUACAAUGAGUGCUGCGACUACGAUUGAGCACCCCUCUACCUAGUUUGCAAAAAAACAGUGUCCCAU
rnacentral:lncRNA from 1 species